UUUGGAAUGGGGACAGCAUAUAUGGUUCAGACUACAAACUGCUUCUGUGUGACUAAGAGAAGAAGAAUCAGAGUAAAGAGAAACAUACUCUCUUAAUCUCCGAAGAUUAACGGCAGGAGGAGCUCUAGAAUUUCACAAAGGUGCUGUCAGGACACAUGAAAAUCUAGAGAAAAAGACCAGCUUGAAGAGACCAAAAAGAAGAAAGCCUGCCAAUCACAAUCCUCCAGAGAUUCUGAGACACACACACCCCUGGUGUAGGGGGACACCAUCUGAAAGGUGACACCCACUCUACGGAAUAUAAGUACCAGCUAAAGAGGACACACACUUGAAGAAAAAGGAGACAAUGAGGUAUUUUGCCUGCUCAUAUGUCUAUGCCUGGUGCCCACAGAGGCCAGAAGAGGACAUCAGGAGUUAAAGACAGUUGUGACCCACCAUGUGCUAUAUGACAAACCCAGGCUCUCUGGAAGAGCAGCCAGUGAGUGCUCGUGAAUGCUGAGCCAUCUCCCUAGCAAUCAAACUGGAGAAAUGAUGGCAUUGUGCCAGGUUGGAUUAGGUUAAAUAAAAAUCGUAAUCAUUGGCUAGG
ensembl:processed_transcript Platr14 pluripotency associated transcript 14